CUACGGGGUGCACCAGUGAGGAAUAUUGCACAAUGGGGGGAACCCUGAUGCAGCAACGCCGCGUGGAGGAUGACGCAUUUCGGUGUGUAAACUCCUUUUAUAUGUCAAGAAAAUGACGGUAGCAUAUGAAUAAGCACCGGCUAACUCCGUGCCAGCAGCCGCGGUCAUACGGAGGGUGCAAGCGUUACUCGGAAUCACUGGGCGUAAAGAACGCGUAGGCGGGUUGGAAAGUCAGGUGUGAAAUCCUACAGCUUAACUGUAGAACUGCACUUGAAACUUCUAAUCUAGAGUAUGGGAGGGGGAGAUGGAAUUAGUGGUGUAGGGGUAAAAGCCGUAGAUAUCACUAGGAAUACCUAAAGCGAAGGCGAUCUCCUGGAACAUUACUGACGCUAAGGCGUGAAAGCGUGGGGAGCAAACAGGAUUAGAUACCCUCGUAGUC
rnacentral:rRNA from 1 species